UACAGAGGGGGCAAGCGUUAUUCGGAAUUAUUGGGCGUAAAGGGCGCGUAAGCGGCUUUGCAAGUGACGGGUGAAAUCCCUCGGCUUAACCGGGGAACUGCGUCUGAUACUGGAUGGCUUGAGGUUGGGAGAGGGACGCGGAAUUCCAGGUGUAGCGGUGAAAUGCGUAGAUAUCUGGAGGAACACCGGUGGCGAAGGCGGCGUCCUGGACCAAUUCUGACACUGAGGAGCGAAAGCCAGGGGAGCAAACGGG
rnacentral:rRNA from 1 species